CAGCACCUCAAGUGGUCAGGAUGAUUAUUGGGCCUAAAGCAUCCGUAGCCGGCGCUGUAAGUUUUCGGUUAAAUCUGUACGCUCAACGUACAGGCUGCCGGGAAUACUGCAGCGCUAGGGAGUGGGAGAGGUAGACGGUACUCGGUAGGAAGGGGUAAAAUCCUUUGAUCUAUUGAUGACCACCUGUGGCGAAGGCGAUCUACCAGAACACGUCCGACGGUGAGGGAUGAAAGCUGGGGGAGCAAACCGGAUUAGAGACCCGAGUAGUCC
rnacentral:rRNA from 1 species